AAACUAAAGAGUUUGAUCCUGGCUCAGAUUGAACGCUGGCGGCAUGCCUUACACAUGCAAGUCGAACGGUAGAGUAGCAAUACUCGAGAGUGGCGAACGGGUGAGUAAUAUAUCGGAACGUGCCCAGUCGUGGGGGAUAACGUAGAGAAAUUUACGCUAAUACCGCAUACGAUCUAAGGAUGAAAGCGGGGGAUUCGCAAGAACCUCGCGCGAUUGGAGCGGCUGAUAUCAGAUUAGGUUGUUGGUGAGGUAAAAGCUCACCAAGCCGACGAUCUGUAGCUGGUUUGAGAGAACGACCAGCCACACUGGGACUGAGACACGGCCCAGACUCCUACGGGAGGC
rnacentral:rRNA from 1 species